UACGGUAGGGUCCGAGCGUUAAUCGGAAUUACUGGGCGUAAAGCGUGCGCAGGCGGUUUUGUAAGCCAGAUGUGAAAGCCCCGGGCUUAACCUGGGAAUGGCAUUUGGGACUGCAAGGCUGGAGUACGGCAGAGGGAGGUGGAAUUCCAGGUGUAGCAGUGAAAUGCGUAGAUAUCUGGAGGAACACCGAUGGCGAAGGCAGCCUCCUGGGCUAGUACUGACGCUCAUGCACGAAAGCGUGGGGAGCAAACAGG
rnacentral:rRNA from 1 species